AAUUCUAGGAAAAAGUCUAACUAAAUAUGAAACUAAAUAUUGGAACGGAAUAAUAGAAAGCAUUAGACGCUUCUCGUCUAAUCCUCAUGAAAAUUCAAUUGAACGGAACCAGGGGGACGCUCGCGAAUGCUUGGAGAAUGAAACGCGGAACGCAUAUACAUGAUGUUAAAGAAAGGACCUAAGAGUGCGAAAGCUCAUAGCACUCGCUCAGAGGAAUACAAAAUUUUUAAUCGAUAUGCAAGAUUCGUACAAAAAGCAUUUGAGAUAAUCGAACGCUUAUCAUCGAUAACUGAUUCGUUUACAAAUUCAAUUACAUACAUUAUAGAGGGAC
rnacentral:misc_RNA from 1 species